rnacentral:rRNA from 1 species
UACAGAGGGGGCAAGCGUUAUUCGGAAUUAUUGGGCGUAAAGGGCUCGUAGGCGGCUUGUCGCGUCGGAUGUGAAAGCCCGGGGCUUAACUCCGGGUCUGCAUUCGAUACGGGCAGGCUAGAGUUCGGUAGGGGAGAUCGGAAUUCCUGGUGUAGCGGUGAAAUGCGCAGAUAUCAGGAGGAACACCGGUGGCGAAGGCGGAUCUCUGGGCCGAUACUGACGCUGAGGAGCGAAAGCGUGGGGAGCGAACAGG